GGAAGGUAUAAAAAACGUAACAAGGUUUCCGUAGGUGAACCUGCGGAAGGAUCAUUAUUGAAUUUUAAUGAAGAGUUUGGUUGUAGCUGGUCUAUUUAUUUAGGCAUGUGCACACCUCCCUCUUUCAUCCCACACACACCUGUGAACUUGUGAGACAGUUGGGGAAUUUAUUUGUUAUUUUUUGUAAUAAAAUGAUAAUAAGUCAUUGAACCCUUCUGUCUACUCAACUCAUAUAAAAUCAAUUUAUUUUAAAUGAAUGUAAUGGAUGUAACACAUCUCAUACUAAGUUUCAACAACGGAUCUCUUGGCUCUCGCAUCGAUGAAGAACGCAGCGAAAUGCGAUAAGUAAUGUGAAUUGCAGAAUUCAGUGAAUCAUCGAAUCUUUGAACGCACCUUGCGCUCCUUGGUAUUCCUUGGAGCAUGCCUGUUUGAGUAUCAUGAAAUCUUCAAAAUCAAUCUUUUUGUUAACUCAAUUAGUUUGAUUUUGGUAUUGGAGGUCUUUUGCAGCUUCACACCUGCUCCUCUUUGUGUAUUAGCUGGAUCUCAGUGUUAUGCUUGGUUCCACUCAGCGUGAUAAAUUAUCUAUCGCUGAGGACACUGUAAAAAGUGGCCAAGGUAAAUGCAGAUGAACCGCUUCUAAUAGUCCAUUGACUUGGACACUAUUAUUAUGAUCUGAUCUCAAAUCAGGUAGACAGCCCAGCUCC
rnacentral:rRNA from 1 species